AGAGCCAACGACUACAACAGCAUCUCCAUCUACAACCACUAGCGGCCCAGAUUUAAAUACAGAGAAAAGGAAAGAUGAAGAGUCGUCAAGUUCUAAGGUGUGCGAAGAUGGAACGAAAUCAAAUACUGAGGGCAGAACUCUUCCUUAUCAAUCGGCUUGUGGAGUUUUAGCUGUAGUUCUCAUUUCAAUCUCAGCUAUAUUCAUUUUCAUUUAUAAGAAAAAGCUUCGUGGACCCACCAGGUAAGGCUGUAAUUAUAUUAAUGGCAGAUACCGUUGAAGAAUCUUUUUAAAUAUUUUAUAAAUCGAUCGUGAAGUCAUCAGUGCAGACACAAAACAAAAUGGUGUGCGUGGGUAACCUUAGGAAAUUAAUUACCAAUGAAAAACUUAAAAAUGAAGGAAUGAGCAGCGGAGGAAAAGGGAAAUUAUAACACAACUAAAGUAAAGCGCGCGCUCUGAUUGGUCAAUUUAGCGUCCCCCAUUUGCCCAUGGGUGUACGCUGCUGACGUGAGC